AAGCACGCGAAAAACCAAGCGCCCCUCUCUCUCCACUAACCAAAUCCCAAUCCCCCCACUGUCGUACGCCCACCUCCUCCACUCCCGUGCCCUCCUCCAUCUUCUCCGGUGCCGUCGCCCGGGCCCCGCCGCACCACCUCCUUCCUUCGGCGCCGCCGCUUCAUCCCCGCCACACCACCUCCUUCCUCCGGCGCCGUGCUGGCGCCCUGCACCGGCCCGACCCCCCUCCCUCCCACCUUCUUCCUCCUUCCACCUACCCUCAACCUUUCACUGCUGGUGCCGCCCCAGCGCCCGUCCAACUCCCUCCAUUGACGGAUCCAACUCGCCCCUCCCCCAUAGAGCACCUCUCGGUGAAUCCCAUGCGCGGCUCCCCAACGGCCCCUUCCUUCUCGGCAAAUCCAGGCGCGCCUCCCAACAGCUCCAGGCGCCUCGCGCGGUUACUGGCGUGGAUCCGGGCACACCGCCACCAGGAGCCCCGUGCGGCUGCCGGCGUGGAUCCGGCGGCGCCACCCCAAGACGCCUCGUGAAGCUGCUGGUGUGGAUCCAGACGUGCCGCCCGCAGAUGCCCCGCGCUGCUACUGGCGUGGGUCCUUCCCUGCCACCCCAUCGUGGCCUCCCUGCAUCCCCUCCCCACCAGCGAGGUGCUCUAUUGAGGGGCGCCAAAAGUCAGGCCCUGCUCCGAAAGGAGGCAUUGCAGGAGCUGCGCGCUGCCUCCCCGUGUGGCUUUCCGAGCCAUUGAUCCUCUGCACCGACGUGAUUCACCCCCCACACCAACACCCCCCCUGUGAGAGCAGCUCCUCUGACUGGGCUCCUGGCGCGCGGUUCAGGCAGUGUGGAUGUUCAGUACGCCGAGGCUACCGUAGUAGAGGCACGACGUGAUUGGCCACCACCUCGCCACGAAGACGAACCUGCCUGGACCCGUGCCGCCGCGGCCGGGCCAGCUCCCACAUCACACCUCCUCCCCAUCCUAGACUUGAUGGCUGAUGGGUCGCUGAUGCCUCAAGUGGCUCCUGGGCGAGAGGGAUCUCUGCAGUCCGCGCUAGCAUGCAGUUUGGUUGACCAUGGAUUGCAUUUCCCUUUGACGACUAGGAGGGUCACCUCUCGCUAUAGUGCAGCUCAGCCAGCUCUCUGUUGCAGCUCCUCCGGCCAGGUGUUCGCGGUUCUGUUUGAAAGUGUUUCGCAUAGUUUUCGGUUCAGGGCUUCUUUUGUGCAGUUCAUUGCUUUUUCUUUGAAAAUUUUGUGUAUGAUCCAGGACUCCACCUCCGCCUUCAGUCCAGAAUUGCAGCACAGUGUAUUUGACAAAGGAGUUCACUUUGCAGAAAAAAUAGUACAUGGGAGUUCACUUCUAUGUUAUUUUGGGGGGAAUUGUUUUUUUGCAAAAUUGUAAGGACAAUGGUGUAUAAUUUCUUAAAAUAGAUGCAGCUCACUAAGAACAUCUUUGCGGUGCACUUUCUACUAUCUUGCAGGUUAUUUGUUCUCUAUGGCGGUACGUGUUGUGCACUGCACCCAUGCGUAUCGAGGAGCUGUAGUUUGGUUUCCAGUCUAGCGAGGUGCAGUGGCGGUAGUAGCUACGGGAGCAUAGCAGCAGGCGGCGGUGUGCAAAGAAGGUCGUUUGAUCCGUUGCUCGUGGCCUUCGAUUGCUCCACUGCUAGCUGCUGUCUCCACCGCUUCUGCUCCUGACUGCAGGGUCAAAUCGGGAAGACGAGGACACCCACUGCUCUAGCACCCACAAGCUCCUGUGCAGUUUGUGAAGUGCGCCAAUGAAAUUCAGAGUCUUGUUGUGUGGUGCGGAUCAUGUGUGUGUGCAGUCUGGGCAUGGACGAUAUCGAGUAUGCAUACAUGGUUUGGGAGCAAAAACAUCGGCGUGGAGUUCAGUGUUUUUUGCUAUGGAGAUGGGGAAACAACAAAAAAAGAGAAAAGGUGAACUCCGCCUCCCGGAUGCCCCGGCUCACACUGCCACUAGACCUAUUUUUACCAUCAGACUCACCGGGCCAUUGCCGACUCCCCAAGCAGUACACUUCCGUACUGUCAGCACCGGCUACAACAACGCUCCGAUUUUUGCCGUUCACUUUUUUGUUUACAUAUUGAAGGACAUCUGUGUUAAUUGCAAAAGUUGCCCACUUUGGCAAAACAACUGGAAAAAAGAAAACUACAAUGCAGUGCACUUCGAGGGAC